rnacentral:lncRNA from 1 species
AUCUCAUCUUGUUUCCAGACCCUCCCCAAGUCAUAAUAAAAAGCAAACAAGGUGUCAAGCGGCCCAUCGAGGUAUUCCCGAGCCGACUGCUGGAACUAUGCAACCAGGACGCGCCGCUCACUUUCCUCGCAUUCCUGCCGAACGGGAGCCAGCACCGUUCCAAGUGGAUCGCCCAUGGCCGCCACAGCGAAGUCUUCCAGGUGGCCUCCCUGCUCAGGCGGACCGUGCUCAAAGUGGUUCCCGUUACGGGAGACUUCACCCAGCAGCAGGUUGACACCAUCGCCUCCGCCAUUCAGUGCUGCCUGUGAGUUACUGGGAGUCGCGUGC